AGCCUCCCCAAAAGAGGUCAUUUUAAAAACUGUGUCCACUUUGUUCAUACUGUUAUUUUUACCCUUUCUGAAUACAGGAGGUAAUUAGAUCUGGAUUUUUAAGCCAAGUUGAAAUUUUUUCCCUUCUAGUUGCUGAUUAGUUCUGUUUACAUUUAUUUUUAUGACGGAUGCAUUUGGUCUCCAUUUCUUGCUUUAUUAGCUAUAUUCCUUUUUGUAGGACGGGUCUUCUUGAAUCUUUAAAAAGAAUAUUUUCUGGCAUUUAGGAAAGUUUUUGUUUUGACCACAUAUUCUGUAACCUUUUACUAUCUCAGUUUUUAGUGGCCUUAACUCUCCGGGUCUCUGCAGGUCUGCGGACUCUGUCUGCUUCCUCGCUUCGUCUCCGAGUCGGCCACAUUCUGUCCUAGGCUUCCGCCCUCACCGGAACACCGCCUGUGUACCGUGUUUGCGUCUGUUAAAAUCCUGUCUGUUGUUCUGCCACAGCUCUUGAAGUGACCUCUUGGUUGGAUGAAGCUUAUUCCCUAGAUUUCUGAAGGACUCACGGAUGCUAGGUUCUUAUGUUUCAACGACGGGUUUUCUCACUGUAAAUUCUGUGCCUUUUCUGCGGGCGCACGUUACUUGCCCCCGCCCCUGCCCGCAGGUGGAGGUGCAGACCGGAACCUCCCUUAGGUCUGCAGUGAGGAUGUUUGAGGUGAUACAGGCAUGUCCUUCGUAGUUUGGUGGCGAGUUAGCUGCUCUCCUUGAUGCUUUUCAGAAGAUGAACUCUUCAUCCUCUUCCUUCCAGGACCGAGCCACAUGUCCUUCUACGUUCGAACCCACAAAGGGUCAACACUUUCUCAGUGGUCUCUUGGCAAUGGCACCCCGGUCACAAGUAAAGGAGGGGACUACUUCGUGUUUUACUCGCACGGGCUCCAGGCCUCGGCAUGGCGGUUCUGGAUAGAAGUACAGGUCUUGGAAGAGCGGCCUGAAGGAAUGGUCACUGUGGCCAUUGCUGCCCACUACCUUUCUGGGGAAGAUAAGAAAUCCUCCCAGCUGGAUGCUCUGAGAGCGAAGUUUCCAGACUGGACAUUCCCCUCGGCCUGGGUGUGCACCUACAAUCUCUUUGUGUUCUAGUCUUCCGGAUGAGCGCUGAGUACACGCCGAGCGGAAUACCCCCGUGACAUAGUUUCCCCCGCGUGACAUGGAUGUUUGUAAGUCAGUGAUUGAGCACCUGUUCAGAGAGCUUCGUGGGCUGACACGAAGGGCCAAGCACCAUGAUGGUGAUGCUGUGGGGUUGUCACACAUGGCCUUUCUGACACUUGACGCCGGUUUCCUGGCACUGAAGCACACACAUGGGUACCACCACUACACACGUCAGUCUUCUCUAGGACCUCAAGGAUAAAAGCCAACAAACCACUUCAGUAGCCCUCCCCUUAAGAUCAUGAAAGAUGUGGAAGGUACUGUGAGCUGUUCAUGAGACAAAGGACAUUUCAACUGGAGACCAAGAUCAUGUGUUUUGUCAGAGGACGGUAGCUAAAAUCUGUUUGCUGGAGUAAUGAUCCCCCUUGAGACUGACCGUUAGGGAUUAGCAGGCAGGUUCAGCAACAGCUGGGGGAGAACCGGGGGGCUUCUGAGGCCCCCGCCUGUGCUGAGAGCUCUACUUCUUCAGGCAGCUGCUCAAAUGUGCUUGGCUUCUCUGUAGCGAAGCCCGGGCUCCCACCAUGGGAACCUCUGCUGAGCUGGGGACUCACGUCCUUCUGACAGGUGGUCCCUGAGAACUGUCGCUGUGAUGCAUUUCUGAGUUGCUUUUAAGGCUUGAUCUCUACCUUUUCCCGUCCACCUUGCCAACUGAAGUGGAGUAUUUGUUCCGCUACGUUUCCUGCGGGGCUCUUCUAGGCUCUUCUGGCUCGGGAUGUCGCGUGGCAAGCACACAGGCUUGGUUCUGUCCUCAGAGCCUGGGGCUGCCGUGGUGGCUGCUCUGGGCUGGGAAGUGAGUGGGGUGAGGAGUGGCUGGGCAUUUUAUAAAUAUUUAUUCUCUUCAUUUAAUAGGCAUGUUCUGUUAUCCAAGGUUAAUCCUUUAGGGUAUAAUUUUAUUGAUGCACUGAGUCCUUAGUUUUGUCUGUUUUCUCACCAGUCUGAAUAGUUUCUCCAUCCCUGUCCGGCAGAGCUGGCUUUCCUGGGGCAGGAGGGGGUGGCUUACACUGCAGUGAGGCCACUGGAGCAGCAGCUGCUGGUAUUAGGGUCCUGCAGAAGGGCAGGCCAAGGCCUUGAAGGUGCUGUUCAUUUUGAAGAUGGCUGUGUGGCUUGGGAGGCAUGUCACGGCGGUGCCUCUCAGGGCUUCUUGGCUCUGGCAGUGGAAGGGCUUGGGGAGAUGAGUGGUCAGUUCUCCUAGCUUUCUUUUUUCCAUUAAGAAGCUGAAAAGGUUGGAUAAAUUCUGAGUUUAGCAAGCAAAGGCCAAAAAAGACAUUUUUUUUAAAAAGCCACAGUAAAACAAAGUGGCGCUAAGUGCAGGGCAGGAGGCCACUGAAGCUGCUUGUGACUGGUGGCCAUAGUGUGCCUUCCCAGGCAUGCUCCUCCCGCUGCCUGCCUCACCCGGGACUCCUUCAGCCCUGACCCGGCCACGCAGCCCAGCACGGCCGCAGCCAGGGCUGAACUGCAGGCUGUGCUGCAAGUACCGGGCUCCUGCCCCUGGUACGGGUGUCGCCAGCGGACUUCUGAGUUUGUCAGGUGGUGCAGAAGGACUGCAGUGUUCGUAGCUUGUAGAGAUUCAGAGUUACGGACAAAAAGUGGUAUCUCAAUGAAUUUCAAAAUACAGGCCUAUUUUGUCCCUAUGGUUAAUCUGGAAUAGAUUUUUAUGGAGGGGGGAUCCCAUGUUGAGGACGUGCAUCAUAUGAAAGUGAUUUUCCCCCCUUUGGGAAGGAUGUGAUUCCCUUGCAGUAAGCAUCAUGGUUUUCCUUCUGCCUUCAUGUCAUUUUCCUUUGUAAACAGUGUCUUUUGCUUUGGUUUUCGAGAUGCUCACUGGUCUCAGGGCGGACUGCUUCAGUGCCGGAAGUGGCUGAGCGCUCAGACUUAGUCACGGCUCUGUUCAUAGCACACGCGCGGUCCGUCGGCAGCCUCGGAGACGCCUCAUUCAGAACUCACUUCUAAAAGGGUCUUUUCAAAUUCUAACAAACGCAGUUUAAAAGUAGCCCAGGGUUGCACAUUCAGUGAAAAUGUGAAGAACUGUGGUUUUGAAGAAAUGCUUACAGUUUACAUGGCGUCUGACCUAAGAAAGUAUCUGUUUCCCAGUUUAGCUGAUGGAAAUAAGCGCUGUAGGAUUGCUAAGAUGUCUCCACCAAGGGGGCCGUAGCCAGCUGCUCACUCGGGAAGCUGUAGCAAGAAGGAUGGUCUUUCCUUUCUUUUCACUGGUUUGCUGACUUGUUGAGGGUUAAUUGUUGCCUUACAUUAAACUUUUUAACCUACUAGGUUAGUAUCAUUAACAGAAAAACCAGAUCUUUAUUCUUCCGUAUCCUCAUCGUUGAAGGGUUAUUUCCAGUCCACAAAGCCUUUUUAAAACCUUUUUAAAAUUGCUUUUAAGAGAUCUAGAUGGCUCACGUGGGCAGAACGGGUAUGCGAGUGAAGAGCAAAACAAGGAGAUACUGGAAUGCUUUUUACUGUGGAAUGAAAUUGUGCAUCCUAUUUUGUUAAAUGUUGAGCUUUUUAAAAUCCUCUCCACUGGCAAAAUUGCUGAAGGGUGAAUCCAGAAGGAUUGUGGGGACAGGAAGAAAUGGUCUUUCAGCCAGUGGCCCACCACUCAUCACUCACCUCUCUGGAGACCCAAGGAAUGGGGGCACUGCCACUCCUCAGAACCGUUUGGUGCACCUCCCCAUUGUGCCCCUUGCCGCCUUUUAGGGCCAAUAAAGCCAAACGCAUUUAGGUCUCUUUA